rnacentral:rRNA from 1 species
AUGUGCCCAGAUGGGAUUAGCUAGUAGGUGGGGUAACGGCUCACCUAGGCGACGAUCCCUAGCUGGUCUGAGAGGAUGACCAGCCACACUGGAACUGAGACACGGUCCAGACUCCUACGGGAGGCAGCAGUGGGGAAUAUUGCACAAUGGGCGCAAGCCUGAUGCAGCCAUGCCGCGUGUAUGAAGAAGGCCUUCGGGUUGUAAAGUACUUUCAGCGGGGAGGAAGGGAGUAAAGUUAAUACCUUUGCUCAUUGACGUUACCCGCAGAAGAAGCACCGGCUAACUCCGUGCCAGCAGCCGCGGUAAUACGGAGGGUGCAAGCGUUAAUCGGAAUUACUGGGCGUAAAGCGCACGCAGGCGGUUUGUUAAGUCAGAUGUGAAAUCCCCGGGCUCAACCUGGGAACUGCAUCUGAUACUGGCAAG